ACCAACACCGAAGGCCAAGCCGCCACCUUCCACACCGAAGGUCGAGCCACCACCCACCCCCAAGGUUGAGCCACCACCCACUCCAAAGGCAGAGCCACCUUCCACGCCAAAGGUUGAGCCACCACCCACUCCAAAGGUUGAGCCACCUCCCAUGCCAAAGGUUGAACCACCACCCACCACUAAGGUUGAGCCACCACCCACCCCUAAGGCCGAGCCACCACCCACACCAAAGGUUAAACCACCUCCCACGCCAAAGGCCGAGGCGCCAAAGGUCCAACCACCACCCACCCCUAAGGCUGAGCCACCACCUACCCCUAAGGAUGAGCCACCUCCCAUGGCAAAGGUUGAACCACCACCCACCCCUAAAGCCGAGCCACCACCCACCCCAAAGGCUGAGCCACCACCCGAGCCAAAGGCCGAGGCACCAAAGAUCCAAACACCACCCAUCCCUAAGGCUGAGCCACCACCUACCCCUAAGGCUGAGCCACCUACGACGCCAAAGGUUGAGCCGCCACCUGAGCCAAAGGCCGAGCCACCUCCUACACCUAAAGCUGAGCCACCUUUUGCACCUAAAGCUGAUCCACCUCCCGCACCUAAAGCGGAGCCACCUCCAAUAGCUAAGCCGGAACCUCCUCAAACACCAAAAGUUGAGCCACCGCCAAUGCCACAGGCUGAGCUACCCCAAACACCAGAGGCUGAGCCACCCCAAACACCUGAGGUUGUGCCACCCCAAGCAUCUGAGGUUGAGCCACCCCAAGCACCUGAGGUCGAGCCACCUGCUGCACCAAAGGUUGAGCCACCUCCAACACCAAAGGUCGAGCAACCACCAACACCUAAGGCUGAGCCACCUCCAACGCCGGAGGUGGAGCCUCCUAAAGCACCAGAGGUUGAGCCACCAAUACUCACACCUGCACCAAGCCCGAUUGGCCGUAGCCCUAAAGGUCCUCCGUUGUUUCCAAUUCAACCACCAUCAACGCCAGAACCUGUGCAAUCUCCUCCAUCACCAUCUCCAACACCAGAACCAUCUCCAGAGCUUGUGCAGUCACCACCACCAGUCCAGUCACCACCACCACCUGUCCAAUCCCCUCCACCGCCAAUUCAAUCUCCACCACCACCUGUCCAGUCUCCACCACCACCACCAAUUCAAUCCCCACCACCGCCUGUCGAAUCUCCCCCACCACCAAUUGAAUCCCCCCCACCACCAGUCGAAUCCCCGCCACCGCCGAUCGAAUCCCCACCACCACCAGUCGAAUCCCCGCCACCGCCGAUCGAAUCCCCACCACCCCCAGUCGAAUCCCCUCCACAGCCGAUCGAAUCCCCACCAUCGCCGGUCGAAUCUCCCCCGCCGCCUGUCCAAUCCCCACCACCACCAGUCCAAUCCCCACCACCGCCAAUCGAAUCACCUUCUCCCCCAGCUCCAACUCCAUCUCCUCAUUUGCCUCCUCCUGUGGAGUCUCCACCACCAACCCAACCAGACUUCGUGCUACCACCAAACAUUGGAGC
rnacentral:lncRNA from 1 species